UUUCCGUAGGUGAACCUGCGGAAGGAUCAUUACAGAGUUCAUGCCCUCACGGGUAGAUCUCCCACCCUUGAAUAUUUAUACCUUAGUUGCUUUGGCAGGCCGUGGAAACACCAUGGGCUCCGGCUUAUGCGUGCCUGCCAGAGGAAACAAACUCUGUUUUUACUGAUGUCUGAGUACUAUAUAAUAGUUAAAACUUUCAACAACGGAUCUCUUGGUUCUG
rnacentral:misc_RNA from 1 species